rnacentral:rRNA from 1 species
AAUACAUGCAGUCGAGCGGACAGAAGGGAGCUUGCUCCCGGAUGUUAGCGGCGGACGGGUGAGUAACACGUGGGUAACCUGCCUGUAAGACUGGGAUAACUCCGGGAAACCGGAGCUAAUACCGGAUAGUUCCUUGAACCGCAUGGUUCAAGGAUGAAAGACGGUUUCGGCUGUCACUUACAGAUGGACCCGCGGCGCAUUAGCUAGUUGGUGGGGUAAUGGCUCACCAAGGCGACGAUGCGUAGCCGACCUGAGAGGGUGAUCGGCCACACUGGGACUGAGACACGGCCCAGACUCCUACGGGAGGCAGCAGUAGGGAAUCUUCCGCAAUGGACGAAAGUCUGACGGAGCAACGCCGCGUGAGUGAUGAAGGUUUUCGGAUCGUAAAGCUCUGUUUGUUAGGGAAGAACAAGUGCGAGAGUAACUGCUCGCACCUUGACGGUACCUAACCAGAAAGCCACGGCUAACUACGUGCCAGCAGCCGCGGUAAA